GAUGAAGAACGUAGCGAAAUGCGAUAAGUAAUGUGAAUUGCAGAAUUCAGUGAAUCAUCGAAUCUUUGAACGCAUCUUGCGCUCCUUGGUAUUCUGAGGAGCAUGCCUGUUUGAGCGUCAUUAAAUUCUCAACUACACUGACUUUGAAUUGGUGUGGCUUGGAUUUGGGGGGAAAAUUGUUGUGGGCUUUUUGUAUAGUCUGCUCCCCUGAAAUUGAUUAGCGGUACCUUUGUGGAACUGUCUACAGGUGUGAUAAUUAUCUACAUCUUAGACAUCUGCUGGAAUGCUGCUUUCUAAACCUUACUUGUAUUGACAAUCUUGACCUCAAAUCAGGUAGGACUACCCGCUGAACUUAAGCAUAUCAAUAAGCGGAGGA
rnacentral:misc_RNA from 1 species